CCGAUAGCAACCACGUGAUCAGUAAAAAUCGUGUAUUUUCACGUGAAAUUAUUUUUCGGAAUUCCGUACAUCGCCAUAGAGUAGUUGAAAAACAAAAAGGGGUUCCGAAAGUACAAGUUGUUGCUGUGACUGAAUCGAUGAUUGAGAGGGUCGUCUCGACGAAAGAUAUAGAAAUUUGGCCAUAAUUUAGAUUAGGAAUACGUCAAUGUAAUAAUAGUGGACUAAAUGUUUCGUCCGUGCAGAAUGGCACUUUUUACCUCACGAAAUUCACCACUAUGCAUAGCUGCGCUACGUAAACAAAGUUGUUGAUGUAGCGUGAUCGUGAUGUCCGAGUGCUGCGAGUUUCAAUACUGUUUAUGUAGUCAUUGAGAGUUUAAACAAAGUUUCUUCUGAGAAGAGGAAUUCGAUGGAUACAUUCAACGUGGACAACGAAAUCAUAAUUUCGUUUGCAUCAUCCUAAGGACCAGUGCAAGUUGAAAUGGGCUUCCAGCCAACAACUUCAACAGCAAUUUGCCAUGAAAAUCAGCAAGAAAGGUACUUCAUUUACAUUGAUGAUGUCAUAUCCCCUGGACCCCACAACUUUACAGGUUACAGAGAAAACUCAAGAACUUCUGCAAAAUGUGGGACUUGGAUAGAAUCAAUAAUGUAUUUGUGAGCCCAGAGCAAUGGAUAUAUUGUGCAACAUACUAAAGUGUGAAUUUAAUGGAAAACAAGUACAUGUACUCAUGUAUUAUAUGUCUUUUUUAAAGACAAUAAUAUUGUAUAAAUAUAGAGGAAGUGUCAUUGUUGAUUAUUCUAAGUUUUUGAUAUAUCAAAAUCGGUAAACAUUUCUAAAUGAAAAUAAAAUACCAAUUUUAUAACUUUAA